CUCCGGGCCUGGUGGUGCCUCGGACUGCCCUAAUGUUCGGAUGGGAACGGAACCCUCCGGUGUGAAUAGAGCUCCCUCAGUACCACUUCUUUUGUUGGCUUAGGGGAGGGACCAAGAGAUCUAGACAAACGCUGUUUUUGUAAAAUACAAUGUAUAUGUGGGUUUUUAGCGAAUGAGGGUAUUUGCUUGAUGAAUGUUGUCAGCACCUCUGUUCCUAUGGCCAUUCUGCGGACUGUCCCUUCCGGGGCGGGGGCGGCUCCCUCAUCGUUGGCUCUGCUGAGCUCAGAUUGUGAAGCCAACAAGCCAAGUGAACAUCACAGCCAAGUCUUGAAUCAUCAUCUCUUCAGAGGGCCCGGUUCCUGUUAGCACAGAAUGGUGUGAAAACGUAACCUCGUGUGGGAGCUGAAUGUGCUCAGUGACCAUGCAAGGAAAUGUAUGCCCGCAUUCCCUCCUGUGUAUACACACCCAACUGCAAAGAUUUCUGUGUGCACCAGUCUGUAUCUGUACUAAGCUAAAGAUGAAUUUAUAUCGCUGU